UUUGUAUAGCUACAAGUUACAAGUUAAUCUAUUUUUCUAGAUUACAAGUUAAUCUAUUUUUCUGAACUUUGCUGCAUUCAAUGUCAUUAAGCUAUUAGUGCACAAUUUGUAAGUUGAAGUAGUUCACCUAAUUAAUAUGUUAAACAUGUUUACAUUCCCUGUAAUAUGAAGCAGUGGCUUCAAAGAUUUGAUCGAUGUGAUGUCUUAAUCUUGGUAUUACAUCAUCAUUCUGUGUUUUGGUUGAUUGCAAACUAUGUCCUUUCAUUAAAGGAAACUAAAUGGUAGUGCAAUGAUUUCAUAAAGUCCCCUGUAGUGAUGAACAGACAUGUGAUUUUUUUUUAAGAUGGGACAGGCGCGAUGGUGCCCGGCGUUGCGCCGUUGCUGCGAUGGCGGACACCAAGGCCAUGUGCCCUGCUUUCCAUGCCGCCAACAAUGGCGUCAUGUUCGCUGCCAAAGUUGCCUUCCUCAUCCCCGCAGGUUCACCACCUACGCGAUAUUUGGUGUCAUCAGUUGACACGGAGCUGAGGUGCUCUUAAAAUUUCUGGUCUACUGGUGCCAAGGUCAUGGGAAACCUCUCCCCUGAGCUUCGAUGUCUCCCGUCCAGUAGGUAAAGCUUGCUCCUUCCGUUGUGUGAAUCCUGUCAAGAUCCAGCUGUUCUUAUUCAGAAGCACGCCCUGAGGUGAGUUGAAUUGCUUGUUCUAUUUAAAAUUUGGGAGAUGGAUUUGAGUUCUUAGGUGUUAUAUGGUCCCAAACUAUGAAUCGUUGGAUUAGCUAGAUGUAUUCUUGUUUGUGUAUUAGAAAGUUAAAUUUCUGCAAGUGUGUAUAUAUCCCAAGUCUGGCCUAUUCAACAAGAUGAGUCCUUGGCAUUGUGAAGAAAUUUGGGUUAUUUGGUAAUUUGUACCAUAAAAUUGAUGCUUUAGUUCAGUCAGUGUUGUGAUUCAUUAAUUUUUAUAUACAAAGGAAAACAUAUAAUUUUUUCCAGGGACUGUUGUUUGCGGGCUGAAAUUGUUGGUAUUGUUGAACAGUUAAAAUGAGAAUAAUACUACUCCCUCUGAUCGAUAUUACUUGAUUCUAAAAUGGAUGUAUCUACAACUAAAAUAUGUCUAGAUGCAUCCAUUUUAGCAUCAAGUAAUAUGGAUCAGAAGGCAGUACUACUAAACCUUUCAGGCAGUUACUUCCAGUGAAAAUGGAGGAUGAUGUGUGCUUCACCACAUCGUAAAUCCUUUACCUCACAUAGAAAUUGCGUAAAUUAGUAGUGCAUUUUUAUUUUUCAUUAUACUAAAUGCAUAGCUGAGCCUUAUCUCAUUUCUUAUGAAAGCUUGAAGAGAAAAUCCAUGGCAAGGAACUUGGAUAAACAGAUUUUUAGGAUUAACCUAACACAAUAAUUGCUUUUCAAAUAUUUAUGUGUAACUCUCGGAUUACAUAUUUUAUUAUACGAAUUAACUCAUUACUUACGAGAGCCAGGAGACAGAAAUUAAACAUAUUAGGAAGAGCAUGAUAUUUAAGGCAUCUUCUGAAAGCUGAGUUGAAAAAUAUACUAAUGUCGGUUUACUUUAUCCUAAUGAGGUUUCGAUUUCUUCGAUGUAUAUAGUUUGUAUGAUUCAUGUCCAUCUAUUUUUUCUAUUAAAGAGCACCAAGCUCCCAGGGUUCUGAGGCCCUAUGGUUGCUCCGUGCUAGCUCCAAUUGAGUGAUGACACGAGGAUAGUCGGUUCAUGUGUUUGCUACGUGUUGCGGUGUUGGGCGACACCGCGACAGGACGCUUGUGUAUUUGUUACAGGUUGAGCUACAGACCGGGAAGGGGACAACUUCGUUUUCCUCUCGAUCAUUAAUUCUAGAUCGCUCACGGAACCUCUUCUGCGGUUCACUUCGGUCCGCUCAACCACAGCUCCCAUGCUCCUGCCUGCGUCGAUUCCUCACGUCCGGCGACCGGCUUCAUCCCCGACCCCCCCUUCGACCCUCCUACCAUGGCAUCUCAGCCCCCGUCCGAUCUCCCACACCAGAAACGGUGGAGGUAAGGCCUAGCGAUUGCGGCGACACCGGCGGGAAGCAGUCAAGCUGAGCAGAAGAGCAGCGGCUAGAGGAGCACGCGCUUGCGGCAGAGACCGGCG